UUAGCCCGGAGUCAGUGGUAAAAAUAGGCUCCUUUCGAAGGAGCAACUCCACAAGUACCGUACCGAAACUGUACACAUCACUCUUCUCAUUUAAAAGGCCAGUGUGAUAAUAUUCUGGAUCUAAGUACCCAAAUGUACCUUGUAUAUUCGUCAUAACAUGGGUCUGGUCAAUAGGAACCAACCUCGAAGCACCAAAGUCUGACACCUUUGCUGUAUAAUUCCCAUCCAGGAGUAUAUUUGUCGACUUCACAUCACGAUGAAAGAUUGAUACAGAAGCAGCUGAAUGAAGGUAAGAAAGGGCUCCAGCUGCUUCUAUAGCAAUUCUUAAGCAAUCAUCCCACGACAAGGAAGAGUUGUUGUUUGGAUU
rnacentral:rRNA from 1 species